rnacentral:rRNA from 1 species
UUAUUGGGUAGGGGAGCGUUGUAUACGCGGUGAAACAGUAGCGCAAGCGGCUGUGGAGUGUAUAGAAGUGAGAAUGCCGGAAUGAGUAGCGCGAAUGCAGUGAGAAUCUGCAUGGCCGAAAGCCUCAGGUUUCUGGAGGAAGGUUCGUCCGCUCCAGGUUAGUCGGGAGCUAAGGUGAGGCCUAACGGCGUAGCCGAUGCACAGACGGUAGAGAUUCCGUCACCACCAAAAGAGUUAAACACAGGGACACAUUUGAAGUCUCGGAGCCGGGUGUUGGUUCCGGUAGCGAUCGAGGGAAAUUAGUACCGAAGUCCGGGAUGGAAGAUGGCGAGAAAAGCUGUGUGUAUUUCUGCGGUGCCCGUACCGCAAACCGACACAGGUAGGUAGGAAGAAGAUUCUAAGGCCAACGGGAGAAGGGUUGUUAAGGAACUCGGCAAAUUGACCCCGUAACUUCGGGAGAAGGGGUGCUCUAGAGAUAGAGCCGCAGAGAAUCGGCCCAAGCAACUGUUUACCAAAAACACAGGUUUGUGCUAAAUCGAAAGAUGACGUAUACGAGCUGACGCCUGCCCGGUGCUGGAAGGUUAAGAGGAGAUGUGCAAGCAUUGAAUCGAAGCCCCAGUGAACGGCGGCCGUAACGAUAACGGUCCUAAGGUAGCGAAAUUCCUUGUCAGGUAAGUUCUGACCCGCAUGAAAGGCGUAAUGAUUUGGGCACUGUCUCGACAGCCCGCCCGGCGAAAUUGUAGUACCGGUGAAGAUGCCGGUUACCCGCGACAAGACGGAAAGACCCCAUGGAGCUUUACUGUAGCCUAAUAUUGGGUUUCGAUGUUGCAUGCACAGGAUAGAUGGGACACUGGGAAGCAAGAGCUUUGGCUUUUGUGGAGUGGCCGUUGGGAUACCAUCCUUGCGAUAUUGGAAUUCUAACCUGCGCCUUUGAAUCAAGGCGGGGGACAUUGUUAGGUGGGCAGUUUGACUGGGGCGGUCGCCUCCUAAAGAGUAACGGAGGCGUUCAAAGGUUCGCUCAGCUUGAACGGAAAUCAAGCAAAAGAGUGCAAACGCAGAAGCGAGCCUAACUGCGAGACUGACGGGUCGAGCAGUAACGAAAGUUGGAGUUAGUGAUCCGGUGGUAUGUGAGUGGAAAUGCCAUCGCUCAACGGAUAAAAGUUACCCUGGGGAUAACAGGCUGAUCUCCCCCAAGAGUCCACAUCGACGGGGAGGUUUGGCACCUCGAUGUCGGCUCAUCGCAUCCUGGGGCUGUAUUCGGUCCCAAGGGUUUGGCUGUUCGCCAAUUAAAGCGGUACGCGAGCUGGGUUCAGAACGUCGUGAGACAGUUCGGUCCCUAUCUGUCGUGGGCGCAGGAUAUUUGAUGGGAGCUGUUCCUAGUACGAGAGGACCGGAGCGGACGUACCUCUGGCGCACCAGUUGUUCUGCCAAGGGCAUAGCUGGGCAACUAUGUACGGAUCGGAUAAACGCUGAAAGCAUCUAAGCGUGAAGCCGACCCAAAGAUAAGAUAUCCCAUUGUUUCAAACAAGUAAGACCCCUUGAAGACUACAAGGUUGAUAGGCAUGAUGUGUAAGUGGAGUGAUCCAUUCAGCAAGCAUGUACUAAUAGGUCGAGGGCUUGACCU